UACGGGGGGGGCAAGCGUUGUUCGGAAUUACUGGGCGUAAAGGGCUCGUAGGCGGCCAACUAAGUCAGACGUGAAAUCCCUCGGCUUAACCGGGGAACUGCGUCUGAUACUGGAUGGCUUGAGUUCGGGAGAGGGAUGCGGAAUUCCAGGUGUAGCGGUGAAAUGCGUAGAUAUCUGGAGGAACACCGGUGGCGAAGGCGGCAUCCUGGACCGACACUGACGCUGAGGAGCGAAAGCGUGGGGAGCAAACAGG
rnacentral:rRNA from 1 species